UUUUCUUAAACCAGACGGCAGCGAUUUAGACAACUCUACAAUUUUUGAUUAUGAUUAUGAGCAGGAUGAAUGUGGAGUACUACCAGAGAACUCAGAAGCAGUCAUCUGUGUGCUGUACCCAACCAAUAUUCUCAACUGUUCCUGGGCGCUCCCCACUCUGAGGACGGAUGCUGAGCUGUCCGUUUCAGUCAGGGUGUUGAAAAAUGAAGAAUUGGUUGAUUCUAGAGACCAAGACUCUGCUAAGAGAGUGGGAUCCAUAUCUUGGAUGAUCCAUGAAGGCGAAGGUUUGGAUGUUGAGGUUCAAUUAAACUUGACCCGGAACGGAUCCUCGAUAUGCUGCAUCGCAUCGUUUGAAGAGGAUUCAUAUAGUAAUUCUCAAAGACACGCACUGUUCCUGUUUAUUUGUUACUCAGAGAUCAUGCAUUAGAUAUGCACCACUGACUGCAGCUCUGGUCACACAGGAUAUCAGCUGUGAUAUGCUGUGAUAUACCAUCAUAUGCUACACGCUAAAUUAAUGGUAUAAUCAUGUCCUUAAAUAAGAAAUGGUUUCAU